GGCUCCGCGAGCGUAAAGCAUGAUUAUAAUUGCAGUAUUUGUUAAAUAUUUACUCUAUGCCAAGUACUGGGGUAGAUAAUUAGAUCUGAUAAGGUUUCUGUCCAACGUGGGUUUGCAGCCAAAGAGGAAAGGAGACCAGGGAUUUAAUCCCCAUUUUACAGACGAGGAAACUGAGCCCCAGGGAUAAUAUUAAGCGAUUUGUCCAAAGUCACACAGGAGGCAAAUGACAGAGCUGGGAUUAGAGCCCAGGACUUCUAACUACCAGUUCUGUAUUCUUUCCACUUGACCACACUGAAAAGUCACCUCUUGAAAAGUCAUCUCAGUCAUCCUACUGACUCUGGAAGGCGCCCAUCCUAGUCGGACAAAAAAUUAUCCAGAAGUUAAAGUUUGCAUGACUGGUCCAACUGGUCCCACCCCCAUGUGCUAUUUUCCCCCACAUCCCCACCCCCACCUAGGCUUCUGCUGAGUUAUUCACCUUCACCUGAGAGCCUUAUUGCUAGGAAGGUAUUUCACUUCCCUUCCGUGUUCGCAGAAACCGGCAUCCAAUUUAGCGAUCUUCAUCUUUAACUGCUAUUUCAAAUACCUGUUCAUAACCAAAAGGUAAACUUAUAUUCAUCACCGUUCCAAAUAAAAAAACCCAUCCCCAAAACCCCGCUUCCGGUGACGCGAUAGUGGGGAUUCCCGAUUUCGAACGAAACCGUUUAUGACCUCACAAAGGGACUUGGGGCUUACAUAAUUCCCCUCAACUUGGAGCGGGGCGACUGAUUAGAUCCAUUAUUUCCGCGUGGAGGGGACUUCACACCGACCGAGACCUGUAGCUAUUAGCUUCCACGACACCCUCCCAACCCUCUAUGGAACAGAGUGGAGGAUUCAAAGAAAGUCUUAUCCUUUUCCCGACUCGGCGCUCCUCCUCCAGGAAGGAUCCGGACACAGAAGGCCCCUUGGACAGUGAGGGAAGUCGGACUCCCCAGCUGAGCUCCAGCGCUCUAGACUUCUCGGCCUCACAGAACCCUAGACCUCUCGCCCCACUCCCAACAAAUGCAACAGCUGUCCGUCCGUGGUCAACAAACCUCUUUUGCCCUCUUUCUCUUAGGGAAGUGAAGGAUCUCUGAGGGAUAAUAAUAAUAAUAAUAAUGUCGGUAUUUGUUAAGCGCUUACAGGGAUGGGC
rnacentral:lncRNA from 1 species